AGCCAAUGCCUAUAAUGAGUCAGACAUACUUUAAUCAUUUAUUUGAAUGCACUGCGUAUCAAAUAGAAAAAUACUGCUGUAAUCAUACUUGUUAGCCAAUUUCAUAUCCUGCCACUCUGGGUUUGAGUCUCAGAUCAAGCAUAUACACCUUUUUUUUUUAAUGCCUUUAGGGUUUAUUUUGUAUUGUGUAUUGUAUUGUCAGUGUUCCUUUUCAAUUUAGAGGCACGAAUAACCAUGGACUAAAACUCAGCCUUUAACCUUGACUGUAAGAAAUAGUUGACAUUUAACAUGAUAAUUAGCAAAAUUAACUAAUAUGAACAUUUUCUGGUGAUAACACCCAUUCCUAGUCUCAUACAUCAUAAUUUUUAUGCAUCAGGAAACAUCCCAUUAAAUACAGUGAGUUAGAUGGUGAUCUUCAAGUCUACUUAAAAAGACAAACUAAAUGAAACAAAGUGUGAAGAUUCAGUUAGUUUGUAAUGGAUGACCGUACAAAAACCAACAAACAAUAAGGAAAUGUCUGUAGGAGCAGGUAGAAAAGUGCAUUUGUUAUUGUGGACAUUGUGGACAUCAGCUGUUUGGUGACUUUUAUGACCUAGCCUAAGAAUCUUCAUCUCAUUAGUCAUGCAAGCAGGGUGACUGAAGCCAGCAAGUAGGUAGUUAGGCCGCAGCCUCAGUGCAAACAUCGGGUUAUACACUGUGAUAAAAAA